rnacentral:rRNA from 1 species
GACGAACGCUGGCGGCGUGCCUAAUACAUGCAAGUAGAACGCAGUUGCGAACGGGUGAGUAACGCGUAGGUAACUGCCUGGUAGCGGGGGCUAACUAUUGGAAACGAUAGCUAAUACCGCAUACUACCAGGUGGACCUGCGUUGUAUUAGCUAGUUGGUGGGGUAAAGGCUCACCAAGGCAACGAUACAUAGCCGACCUGGGAGGGUGCUCGGCCACACUGGGGCUUGGAAAAGGCCCCGACUCCUACGGGAGGCAGCAGGAGGGAAUCGUCGGCAAUUGACGGAAGUCCGACCGGGCAACGCCGCGUGAGGGAAGAAGGUUUUCGGAGCGUAAAGCUCCUGUGUAAGAGAAGCGGUAUCUUACCAGAAAGGGACGGCUAACUACGUGCCAGCAGCCGCGGUAAUAC